AUUGAACGCUGGCGGCAUGCCUAACACAUGCAAGUCGAACGCGUGGCGGACGGGUGAGUAAUGCCUGGGAACCUGCCUGAUGGAGGGGGAUAACUACUGGAAACGGUAGCUAAUACCGCAUACCAUCGGAUGUGCCCAGAUGGGAUUAGCUAGUAGGUGGGGUAAAGGCUCACCAAGGCGACGAUCACUAGCUGGUCUGAGAGGAUGACCCGCCACACUGGGACGGAGACACGGUCCAGACUCCUACGGGAGGCAGCAGUGGGGAAUAUUGGACAAUGGGCGCAAGCCUGAUGCAGCCAUGCCGCGUGUGGGAAGAAGGCCUUCGGGUUGUAAAGCACUUUCAGCGAGGAGGCGUUACCCGCAGAAGAAGCACCGGCUAACUACGUGCCAGCAGCCGCGGUAAUAC
rnacentral:rRNA from 1 species